rnacentral:pre_miRNA from 11 species
GUCCGCACGGGAUAAUAGAUUAUCCCGUGCGGUUGAGUUAAGCCGACUGCACGGGAAGGUCUAUUUUUCCGUGCGGUU